CCUGGAGAAUUAUUAGUUCCAUGUGGGUGGGACUUGGUCUUAUUCACCAGGAAAUUCACAGGGCCUGACUUGUUGGCUUUCAGCAAAUGUUUGCUGAAUGGAUUAGUGACCAUCUGCCUGAGUCUGUCUGCCUAUGGGAAAUCUCCAUUUGAAAUAUUUGCCAUUUCUGUAGCCUCCAAGUACCUUAGCCUGAAUUUGUUAUUAAUGUUACAUGUUGGAGUUGAAAAGCACUGGGCCUACAGUCAAAAGAUCUGGGUUGAAGUCCCACAAGUUAUGUGCUAUGCUAGCAAAAGGUCUACAGAUGAGUCAGAAAAAUUCAGAAGUAAGUUCCCUCCGGAAUAGAGCAACCUGGAAGCCAAACCAGUCAGAAUACAAACACAGCAAAUGGAGAAGUGUUUUAGAGUUGUGUGUAUGCAGCCUAGUGUCUCAGACCAAUGGAAGAGAUCCAUCAUCCGUGAUGUUUAAUUCUCACACAGUAUUGUGUGGUGUGCAGGGCAGGAUUGAUCAUCUGGAUCCUACACAGGAGGAAGUGGAGUCCCAUGGAAGUUAUAUGACUUACCCCAAGACACACGAUUGCAGACUGGCCAGGAUGGGACUCCAGCUGAGGACUUUUGAUCACUUCUCUGACCCUCUGAUGCCAUGUGCUUUUCACUCUGCCGUGUUGCUAAUGGGCUAUUUCUCUGUGCAAAGUUGUCACUCUGGGUUACCUAAAGGACCUGGGAAAGGUCUACGUUAUCCUUCCAUAAAUUGA
rnacentral:lncRNA from 1 species